ACCGAAGAGUUUGCGUGGGGCCCGCCGGGCGGCGCUAGCAGCCUCGUCUCCUGAGGGGACGUUUCUAUUUGGGCCGCCUCUGUGCGAGCUGCCUAGCCUAAGGACACCGAGUUUUCCUUAGAAGCAACCGCGGGAUACACCCCUCUGUAGAGAAAGAAGACCAACAAGAUCCUCCUUCUGCACUUGGGAGCUGGAGGAUGUGCUCAUGUUUUGUAAAGAUGAAUAAGGAAGAGCUACAGUAGCAGGCAUGGUGUUCCCUGCUUGUAAUCCCAGCAACCUGGAGCUUGAGGAGGAAGGCUUGAGAGUCCAGAGCAUCCUGGGCUACAUUUGUCUCAAAAGGAAUCUGAAAACUGAACUAAUGACGUAUGGAGCCAAAAGCACAGCUAAGAGAGUAAUUCCCAAGCUCAAUGUUUUAUGUGUGCAAGCUAAGUGGAUUUUCUCCAUACUUCACGGAAGAAGUAAGGCGGCCACCGGAGCGCUAAAGCGGAGGUCCUUUGGUAUUUGAAUUAUUUCACUGAAAUAAGAUCAGGCUCGAAAAACCUCUUUAAAACUAAGGUGAUGUUUUCAGAAAUAAAGAUCACAUAGUGGUUGCC
rnacentral:lncRNA from 1 species